CCUCCUGCUCAGAGGCUGGCACAGCCAGCGAUGAGUUGUGCCCACAGGAGGGAAAUGCCACCAGGAAACCUGGCGUCUCCUUCCCUCACCCCCUCGAGCAGGGCUCCCUGCUCCUGCCCGGGAUGGAAACCACCCCCUCGUCCUGGUGGCCCCUGGAGGAGGUACUGUCCUUACUUCUUGCUGUCUUUCUUGCUUUGGGGCCGCUGAAUUAUUCCCUUGAAGAAAAGUGCUCAGUUUCUGCCCAGACAGACCACUGAGGACCAGAUGGGUACUGAUGCCAUUGCACUGGGGCAUUUUACCAUCCACUUUUUGCUUUGCAGUGACACCGGGCGAUAAGGUAGUACAUCUCCGAUGGACAGAGUCCUACAGUAAUGCACUCAAACUGCAUUUGUAUUUCUACUUGCUUGUUGACAUGAAUCUUGCACUAGGAGCCUAAUCAUUGUAAGUUAUGGGCUGGGGUGCUUGAGGUAGAAACUGAAAUGGAAGCCAACUUUGCAGGCACCAGAAGAAGUAAAUUAGAAUCAACUUGAUGUGACCUACUUUAAUUUGCACCUUCCUCACAUCCGUACAGCACUCUUCCAAACCUGCAGAGUGUCAGCCCCGUGAGUUUAGGCUCUUGCUGUAUAUUACAUCCGUUGAUGAAUAAAAUUCUUGGAACUUGUAAUGUGAGGAAAUUAGGGGAAGGUUGCACUUCAUUAAUGUACGUUCCUUUGGGAUACACAAGAUCCUUCUCCUGGACUUCUGAGUAACAUCCAGACUGCAGCCCCAGACCACGUGCAUUGUACAGGACUGUAGCCCAAAACUAAGGAGUCCUCCAAAAACGUGAUGGAGAUUGGGACUCUGAGGGAUGCACAACGAAUUUGGCUGUAUAAAUCCUCUGGGUUUGCUGAAAGACCUGUGUUCAGCACUUGAAGCCAGAAGAAGAAGCUGUUGCAUUUUUGGGUCUUUCUGAGUUCUUGAGGCCCCCUGAGCGAACUUCUUCUAUUCCUGAAAGUGAAAUGAGGCAAUGGUUCAGUCAUUCACUUUUUGUGUUAAAAGCUCUGGAAGUGAAUCAUGAAAGGUUUCUCAAGCACAUUGAGAAGCUGCAGGUAUUAAGUGUAACAGGUAACCACAGCUGCGGAUGCUCUGCAGCCGCUGCAUUGCCACAGUUUGUUUAGUAUGCUCAUUGUCCUUCUGUUCUUCUGUGGGCAUGAGACAGCCCCACAAGCCGUGGUGGUAGGACUUGUUGGUCUCUGCCGGGAGCAGGCUCUGGUCCAUGCUGGUCUCUGGGUUGUACCAGAGCACCAGCUGGGAGGGGGCUGGCAGGGGCUGUAUCCAUGCUGCGAGCAUGCUGAUGGUUAAACACUGCAGGUGGCUGCAGGACAGUUCUUGAAGUUGUUUCAUCCCCUGUGUACAUGGAGAUAUACCUCCCAUAUGUCUGGCAUUGGCUCAGUACCAAAUCUUGUCUUUAAACCUGUGAAAGUGUCUUCCUGAGGAACAACUCAGGUGUAACCACAUGAUAUCGGACUUGACUUGAGACCUCCCGGCUGCAAUUUUUGUUCUAAGUCAUGCUGGAAAUCAGAGCAGAUGAUGAACAUCUUGUGUCAAAAUGUAUCAGUUCACAAUGAAGAACCUCCAAAACCAGAAGUGGUUCGUGAUGAUGAUUCCAAAGCUGUCACAGUUAACCUUUCAGCAACCCCUUGAUAGAUCCGCAGCUGCAAGCCACUUCUGAGGAGCACUGGAUCUUGAAUGCAGUCUCAUGUCUCUCAGGGAGCUGCACCUGGAGGAAGUCUCUUUCUACUAUAUGUGUCUUAUGGCUUUGCUUGGGAGGUUGUGUUGGAGAACCCUGCAGCCUCAGCAGUUCUUCCCAGCCUUCCGGCCAUGCCCAUCAGUAUUUGACACAUUACAAGUCACGAGGCUUGGGGAUCAGUGUUGGAGAUCGUGUUGCUCAGGAUAGCUGGCCUCUUCCACCAGCAUCGGCAGUGCUCUGCACCACGGGCUACAGCCACAACACUCGAGACAAGAGCUCUGGUGGUCGCUACCAGAAGCAGCUUUGGCACAGAAGAAAAAGGUGGGGUAUUUCCAUCCAAAACAAUGAAAAAGACAAAAAAUUAAACAGGGAGAGAGGACAAAAAGGAAUCUGAAAGUCAAACUGCCUGGAAUGAGUUUCUUUAUAAUUACAAGUGUCCUAAUGCCAGGGCUGGUAUUAUGGGAGCACCUGGUGCCUUGGUCUGCUUUUCUCCAAAAUCGGUGAUUUACUGGGGAGGGAAAGCAGCUUCUAGUGCCCUCUGUUGAGGUUCUGUUUGGGGGUUGAGGGCAUUUAGGGUGUUUCAGACAGAAAUUACCACACUGCUGCUAUCACCUACUGACCACUAACUCAUUCUUCCUAAUGCUGACUCAGCCAUCAAUUCCUCGCAAAGAGAACCAGAUUUUUCUUUUUUAAAAGAUCCUUGCUGAAUUCAGGUGGAGCUGCCAGACAUCCCCAGAUUAAUUUCUCUUUCUUCCUCUUUUGCUUCACCCAGUUUCUCUUGCUAAACAGUGUCAGCUGUGACAAUUGCCACUGUGCUGCGGUGGUGGCUCAGGGAUGCUGUUCCAGGAGCCAGGCUGCUGGUGGUUUGCCAGCAGCUUUUGAAGAUGUCGGGGAAGUCACCAUGUGAACAUGUGUGGUGGUGCUCCAUGGGGUGUGCCCCUUGCAGCCUCUUUGUUUUGUCAUUUUUAGGGACACUAUUGGAAAUGACAUUCAUUGUAACAUGCUCAUCCUGCUGGAUUUAAUUAGAAACACUCAGCUUUAAUUAAGUCUUUGUUUUGCAGUCUUGGUAGUUCUAUUUUGAUAAGAUUCUGUCAUGUAAAUCAUAAAUGAAGCUGAAGAAGUAGAUUACUGCAUGUCAUAGCUCCUGAGUAAUGAAUAAAGACAAUAUAAUGUGUGAUACAGUUGCUGAGGGUGGGAGGCAGCCCUGUGCUUUGCAUUAAGUAUUUACCUCGUUCUUUCCAGGAUUUACUGGUACUAUUAGUUCUCUGUAUCCUCAGAUUCAUUCUUUGCUUUCCAGCAUCCUCCUGCCAUGACUUCUUCAGGUGCUGACAGGGAUGCAGUGGGGACAGGGGCUGAAGGGCAAUGCAGGUUGCACGGUGUCACCAGCUCCUCUGUCCUUCCACCCAGAGCACAGCUGGCAUGGGAGGAGGGGGGAGAAAAUAGAGCUCCACCCAAAACCUGUAGGCCUCUUCUUUUUCUCUUUUUUUUCCUCAGUAAACCUGCAUUUUUUUCUCUUCCCUUUCACGCACAGUUUGUGUGCUUAUGUUUUAACUGUGGGACUUGGACACACAUGGCUCACUCCGUGUAUAAAAAAAGGCUGCAUAUUCUGUAGCUCCUGGCUCUGUUAAUGGUUUUCUGUACUUACCUCAUUAUCAUUGCUUGAGGUCUAACUUGAAGUUUAGCAGAGAUGCGAGUUCCAAUUAUAAUUAGCACAUACGGAACAGACCUAACUGAGAGUUUUCCUGUAAAGUCACACUAAUGCAUGAACUCUUGCUGCUUGGUUUGCAGAUGAAAGCACACUCAGAAGUGUCCCAAGCCUCUGGAUCAAGACAGAUUUUUGUAUUCUCAAAACAAGCCAAAGCUAAGACUAACGAAGAAUGCUUAGGCUUGACCUGGAGGGCUGGGGUGCUGCUGUUGGAGCCUGACAGCAGACAUGGAGUGCCUGCUAACAGACCAGUCCUGCAUGCGGUCUACAUGGCACCUCUCUGUAGUCACCAUUGCUUGCAGCACUGACCUUUAGCCAGAGAGGAUUUUUCACACUGAGAAGCAUAAACACUCAUUUUCUAUUUUUUUUUUCUUUUUAGAGGCUUUUGUAAUGAAUGGAGAAAGAAACUGCAGGAACAUAAAUCAGCUCCAGACUGAUGGAAGAAUGUGCAGUUUCUACCUGUGUAGGGCUCAGAACCCAGGCCACUCCAUGACCACAUUCUCUCUUUCCCUUGAAUAGGGUAUCAUCAAGAUUAGUGACCAUUUAUUGUUAGCCUGGUGUCCUCCCCUCCUGAAAAUUCAGUCCUAAAAGGAGGUAAAAUGAUAACGAAGGAAGACAAAUCCCCACUCAAACAGAUUUUGCAGCCAGACUAAUUGUGAGCAGAGGAAGCAACUUUGUGCAGACCUUCUGAACCUGUGGAGGUUGCUUUCCUGGGAAGGCAGAGCAUAUUGAGCACCCAGAGCAAGACAUUCUCCCCAGUUCAGUGCCCCGCAGGUACAGCUUGUCCUUCUCUUGGAAGUCCCUCAGUCUCUGGAUGGGUUGACAAGCAGAACAUGAUUUGCCUGCUCUGCUCUCUCUUUUCUGUGCUAUGACCCUCUCCCCAAACCUCCCUACUUUCCUACUCUCACCCUGUCCUUGAGCCUCUUCAUUUUGCUUUCAGAAGCUUUUCUGCUUUCCUUCUGUUCCCUCUCUUCUUCCAGCUUGAUGUUCCCAAGGUGAUCUACCUUCAGUAGCUGCUGAGCUCCAGGACCUGCUGUUGUCCAUGACAGAGACAUCACAUACAACCCGCAAACAGGCUCUUCCCAGCCCACUAUGUUCCAUGGUGAAGCCUUUCUCUGCUGGAACGCGAAACAACUCUGUAGCGGGCCGAGGGGAAUGAAGGAAGGAUUUUGGCAUAGCCAUGGGCAGGACGACAUCCUUCUUCACAGCAAAUGUGACACUGCAAACCUCCCUGAUGGAUGUCGUGAAGCUUUAUGAGGAUGCAUCUUGAUGUGCUCCUGAGGGUUGCAAGUAGCAGGUGACACACAAGAGGAGACCUUUGCUGCAAGGCAGAUCAGACCCCUGCUGUUAAGUAAGAGCAAUGAAACUGCUAGGGGACCUGUUGGGGGGCUGUUGCACAGCUAAAGCAUGUGCCACCUGAAGUGGGUGGAACAGUCAUCCUUGGCCACCCCUUUCCACUGAUUUGGGGGAUGAGGACUUGGGCAGCACUCUUAGGAGGUGCAUGGGCUGUGUGGCACUGUGGUCCCAGGAUCUAACGCCCUCAAGUUAAUAAUGAAGGCUAAUAAGACCUUUCUAAAUAAUACUUGUUUUCUGGAGCUGGCAAAUGAUCUGGAAAAAACCCAAGCCUUAUAUAACUCCAUCUGGGUAGGUGAAACUUUUCUCCCAACUCCAGCCUAAUGCAAAUUACUUGCAAUUUACUUUCCUCUUGGUUUGACAAAUAGCUGUUAUUAAAAGCAGACCUUAACUGCAAAGAAGUGCCCUUUGCAGCAUCGUACGUGCCUUCCCGUGCUGCAGAAGCCAGAAGGUGAUUUCACCAGCACUUUGUGGGGUUCUGGGGUGCUGGUUGCAUUAACCCGCCUCUGCCUCCCUGUGACGGCUCCUUCGGUGUGUCUGUGUUACACGCUUUCCAUAGCAGUUCUGCCCACACACCUCAGAUUCACUUUCCCAGCAUUGUAGCAGUGAUUAUGUGAAGUUCUGUGCUGGCAGCCCCCCUCGGGUAGCAGUAGGAUUACAUAAAGGUGGGUGACAGAGAGAAGUCUUAAUCACUACAGGAAAAAAACAUUUAACUGUUACCUGCCUCACGACGAGGAGCAGCACUUUUAAAGCCCUUGUGACAUUUACAUGCUUCCAGCUCAGAAUCUUAUUUUAAAUCUCCUGUCAUCACACAUGAGCCUUGAUAUUCGGUACAGGAAUUAAAAAUACUUACAUAUCGGCUUUCAGCUAAAGAACAUGCAGAGUGUUAUUGGUCUUUUGUGUUCAAGUUUUGGCUCCUAGACUCAGUUCCUGUUCUUUCUGGAUGUCCCGGGUGAACAAAGAAGUCUUAUUCUCCUUUCAUAUACACACAGAUAUGCGCAUAGAUAUACACAUAGAUACACACAGAAAGCGAGAGGCAGCUUGCAGAAGUGAACUAACAUGCUGCCUAUUUAUGAAUAACCAUUUCUCAAAGGCAUUCUGGAAUAGCUCCCUCUGUUAACUUUUGAUGCAAGAUAGUUUUUAUACUAGUGGAUUAUAACAGAGUAACUAAAAUACAGCAAGGCAGUCUUUCCCCUCAUCACAAGACUUAAAUAUGCUUCCUUUCUAUUCCCAGUGUGAUUUAUUAUCUGCCUAAAUGUAUAGCCCCUCCAAGGCAGACACCUCAUCUUCUUUUGUAUCUUGAACACACAGCAGAUGUUUAGGAAGUAACAAACUAAUGGUGUAACAGUAAUAGCUAGAAUAUAAAGAUAUGUGCCUGUAAUAAAAGUUGUGGUAGCAAUACUGGAUUUUUGUGGUUUACAGUUCCAACUUUGACUUCCAGAAAGUGACAUAUAUAUGUGCUCUGGGAAUGUGAUAAUAAUCUUAGUACGGCAAAGUAGUUUUCCAGUUUGAAGUAUAAUAUAAAACAAAUUAAUUUCAGUUCUUAGAUUAAGCAUCUCCACUUCCCUAGAUGGUAACCACUCAAAGCUACUACAAUAAAAUUUAAUGACUGCUGUACUGUGUCUGAGGUUUUUUUUUUCUUUAGCCCAUAUGUAUUUGGUUGCUAGAAAAGAUGGAGUGGAACUUGGAAAACUAAAUCCAGUACUGUUAAUUAAAGGUCAUUCCAUACGAAACUAGCUCCUAAUGUUGACCAUUCUCUGCACUUACAAAUUAAUUAUGACUGUAAUGAUUAAGAAAAUAAAAAAGCCUUUAUUG